AUUGAACGCUGGCGGCAGGCUUAACACAUGCAAGUCGAGCGGGGGAAGGUAGCUUGCUACCGGACCUAGCGGCGGACGGGUGAGUAAUGCUUAGGAAUCUGCCUAUUAGUGGGGGACAACAUCUCGAAAGGGAUGCUAAUACCGCAUACGUCCUACGGGAGAAAGCAGUGGAUCUUCGGACCCUGCGCUAAUAGAUGAGCCUAAGUCGGAUUAGCUGGUUGGUGGGGUAAAGGCCUACCAAGGCGACGAUCUGUAGCGGGUCUGAGAGGAUGAUCCGCCACACUGGGACUGAGACACGGCCCAGACUCCUACGGGAGGCAGCAGUGGGGAAUAUUGGACAAUGGGGGGAACCCUGAUCCAGCCAUGCCGCGUGUGUGAAGAAGGCCUUAUGGUUGUAAAGCACUUUAAGCGAGGAGGAGGCUACUCUAGUUAAUACCUAGGGAUAGUGGACGUUACUCGCAGAAUAAGCACCGGCUAACUCUGUGCCAGCAGCCGCCGUAA
rnacentral:rRNA from 1 species